rnacentral:rRNA from 1 species
UACGGAGGGGGGCUAGCGUUGUUCGGAAUUACUGGGCGUAAAGCGUACGUAGGCGGCUUUGUAAGUUAGAGGUGAAAAGCCCGGGGCUCAACUCCGGAAUUGCCUUUUAAGACUGCAUCGCUUUGAAUCAUGGAGAGGUGAGUGGAAAUUCCGAGUGUAGAGGUGAAAUUCGUAGAUAUUCGAAGAAACACCAGUGGCGAAGGCGACUCACUGGACAUGUAUUUGA